rnacentral:lncRNA from 1 species
CUGGACAGGAAGUAGGAACAGACAUGGGCCCGUGCUUAAAUGAAUGACAGAAACAGACAUGGCCACUCCUAGGUAUGGUGGAGGAGGAAGUUUACUGCAGAUAAGAAGAGCACAGUAGCUAUGUGACCUCUGAGAGAGUCCAGAGUGAACAAGACCCCGCGUCAGGCGAGGAGACAUGGAGAGGGCAGGGGAGAAGGGAGAACAGCUGCCAG